GUGGAUAGGCUUGGGGCGGGGCGCGGGGGUCACCGUGUAAGGAUCCUAACAGUUUGGGUCCGCGUGGCACCCGGAGGAUCCCAAACACUUACGCCCCCCUCGGCAAUGAGAUCGGCCGAGACAGGCCAGACAUAGCUCAAAAGCACCCACAUCAGGGCCCAGGGCUGGGCCAGGUCGGUCUCCUGGCCUUGGCGCGCGUCAGAGCACUCCCUGAUGUCAAGUCGAGCGUUGCGAGACGCACAGGACCCAGCGAGUCGGUGGCCGCGGUCUCUGCGCGCUGGUACUGCGAGUGCUUUCGCAUUGGAGCUCUGACGACCGGCCGGCCCCUGGAGACUGCUUAGCCUUUCCCAGGCAGCGUCCUUUCCCAAAUCCCUCUGCGCCAGACGAUUCUGCCUGCCUGCACUGCA
rnacentral:lncRNA from 1 species